GGGAUCAUUUUGCAUCCAU
rnacentral:miRNA from 1 species